AGUGAACGCUGGCGGUAGGCCUAACACAUGCAAGUCGAACGGCAGCACAGUAAGAGCUUGCUCUUACGGGUGGCGAGUGGCGGACGGGUGAGGAAUACAUCGGAAUCUACUUUUUCGUGGGGGAUAACGUAGGGAAACUUACGCUAAUACCGCAUACGACCUACGGGUGAAAGCAGGGGAUCUUCGGACCUUGCGCGAUUGAAUGAGCCGAUGUCGGAUUGGCUAGUUGGCGGGGUAAAGGCCCACCAAGGCGACGAUCCGUAGCUGGUCUGAGAGGAUGGUCGCCGCAACGGGAACUGAGAAGCGUCCAAGACCCCGGCGGGGGGAGGCAGGGGGGAAUAUUGGCAAAGGGGGGAAAGCCUAAUCCACCAAUACGGGGGGGAGGAAGAGGGCUUCGGGGUGGUAAAGCCUUUUUUUUGGAAAAAAAAAGCAGCAGCUUAACACCCCGCGGCCCUGACGGUCCCAAAUAAAAAAGCCCCGGCUAACUUCGUG
rnacentral:rRNA from 1 species